GGCGUAGCUCAAAUGGUAGAGCAGCUGACUUGUAAUCAGCAGGUUGUGGGUUCAAUUCCUAUCGCC
rnacentral:tRNA from 1 species